rnacentral:rRNA from 1 species
GCCUACGGGGGGCAGCAGUGAGGAAUAUUGGUCAAUGGGCUUACGCCUGAACCAGCCAAGUCGCGUGAGGGAAGACUGCCCUAUGGGUUGUAAACCUCUUUUGUCAGGGAGCAACCCCGGCUACGUGUAGCCGGACUGAGAGUACCUGAAGAAAAAGCAUCGGCUAACUCCGUGCCAGCAGCCGCGGUAAUACGGAGGAUGCGAGCGUUAUCCGGAUUUAUUGGGUUUAAAGGGUGCGUAGGCGGAAUGCCAAGUCAGCGGUAAAAUCGCGGGGCUCAACUUCGCUCCGCCGUUGAAACUGGCGU